rnacentral:rRNA from 1 species
CUGGCGGCAGGCUUAACACAUGCAAGUUGAACGGGAUUUGUAUGGUGCUUGCACUAUAUAAUGAGAGUAGCGCACUGGUGAGUAACACGUGGGAACAUACCUUGAAGUGGGGAACAACAGUUGGAAACGACUGCUAAUACCGCAUAUGCCUAAGCAACACAUGUUGCAAUAGGGAAAGGAGAAAUCCGCUGAUAGAUGGGCUUGCGUCUGAUUAGAUAGUUGGUGGGGUAACGGCCUACCAAGUCGACGAUCAGUAGCCGGACUGAGAGGUUGAACGGCCACAUUGGGACUGAGACACGGCCCAGACUCCUACGGGAGGCAGCAGUGGGGAAUAUUGCACAAUGGGCGCAAGCCUGAUGCAGCGAUGCCGCGUGAGGGAAGAAGGUUUUCGGAUUGUAAACCUCUGUCAUCGGGGACGAUAAUGACGGUACCCGAGAAGGAAGCUCCGGCUAACUACGUG